rnacentral:rRNA from 1 species
UACGUAGGGAGCAAGCGUUGUCCGGAAUCAUUGGGCGUAAAGCGCGCGUAGGUGGCCCCAUAAGUCCGCUGUGAAAGUCAAAGGCUCAACCUUUGAAAGCCGGUGGAUACUGUGGGACUAGAGUACGGAAGAGGCGAGUGGAAUUCCUGGUGUAGCGGUGAAAUGCGUAGAUAUCGGGAGGAACACCUGUGGCGAAAGCGGCUCACUGGACCACAACUGACGCUGAUGCGCGAAAGCUAGGGGAGCAAACAGG